CAAGACUCUCCUGUGUGGUCUUUGCCAGCGCACUUUGGGCAUGUCAGAUGUCCGCGACAUGCAAGUGAGCUGUGCCCAAAACGCUGGCAUUUGAAACAACGCCUCGGAUUUGGCACGUAGGGUCUGACAUUACAACUCAGCUCCUUUGCCACGGCAAAAGGGGAGAUUUUUGUCAGUGAUUUUCCGCCUUCAUUUGACUGAAUGACAAGAAACUUGGGGAACCAGGGACCUGGGGUAUGGUCAAGAAAAUUCUGCUGCAGUAGGUGUGUCGGCCACCACCGACCCCAA